rnacentral:rRNA from 1 species
GCCCUUAGAGUUUGAUCCUGGCUCAGAUUGAACGCUGGCGGAAUGCUUUACACAUGCAAGUCGAGCGGCAGCGCGGGGCAACCUGGCGGCGAGCGGCGAACGGGUGAGUAAUGCAUCGGAACGUACCCAGUCGUGGGGGAUAACGUAGCGAAAGUUACGCUAAUACCGCAUACGUCUUGAGGGAGAAAGCGGGGGACCGGAAAGGCCUCGCGCGAUUGGAGCCGGCCGAUGUUCUGAUUAGCUAGUUUGGUGGGGUAAAAGGCCUACCAGAGGCCGACGAUCAAGUAGCGGGGUCUGAGAAGGAUGGAUCCGCCCACACUGGGACUGGAGACCACGGCCCAGAACUCCUUACGGGAAGGCAGCAGUGGGGAAUUUUGGACCAAUGGGGGCAACCCUGAUCCAGCCAUUCCGCGUGGGUGAAGAAAGGCCUUCGGGUUGUAAAGCCCUUUCGGCCGGAACGAAACGGGUGGGGCUAAUACCCUUAUUCUUAUGACGGUACCGGAAGAAGAAGCACCGGCUAACUACGUGCCAGCAAGCCCGCGGUUAAUACCGUAGGGUGGCGAGCGUUAAUUCGGAAUUUACUUGGGGCGUAAAGCGUGGCNGCAGGGCGGCUUAUUUAAAGCCAGAUUGUGAAAUCCCCCGGGGCUUAACCCUGGGGAACUGCAUUUGGAACUGGGAUGGGCUAGAGUGCGGCAGAAGGGAGGUGGAAUUUCUNACGUUGUAGCAGUGAAAUGCGUAGAGAUGUGGGAGGAACACCGAUGGCGAAGGCAGCCUCCUGGGCUGACACUGACGCUCAUGCACGAAAGCGUGGGGAGCAAACAGGAUUAGAUACCCUGGUAGUCCACGCCCUAAACGAUGUCAACUGGUUGUUGGGGGAGUGAAAUCCCUUGGUAACGAAGCUAACGCGUGAAGUUGACCGCCUGGGGAGUACGGUCGCAAGAUUAAAACUCAAAUGAAUUGACGGGGAAGGGC